UGUGAGUGUCUCUGUUAGCCAAUACCCUGGUGUGAGGGGUUCCUUUCUCCUUCCUGAAGGAGAAGAUGCCUGGGCUCCUUGGGGGGAGUGUGAGGGGGGCAGUGACCAGGAAAAGUAUGUGUGUGUCUGGGGAGGUGGGCCCUGGGCCCUGCCAGACACCUGGGCUGGUUGGUCCAGAGCUUCUGCAUCCACUCAGGGACACAGGCCCCGGGUGGGAGCCAAGCCCCAGUUUGUGCACUGGCCAGCCCUCCUUGUCCUCUGCCCUCAGCUGCUGAUUUUUGUAAAACGAGGAGUGUGUGUUGGGAGGUGUGCAACUUAUCACACGCACAGUGUUUUCCCUUCGGGACACACACACCCUCGCAAGCCACCACACACGGUGACACCAGCGACGCAUGCUGGUGGCCGGCUCCCAGGGCUCAGCCUCCCUCGGCGACGCGCCAGUGAUACACACUCCCGCCUCUCCCACUCCCACCCACAUCCCGGGAGGAGCGGCCGCUCCUCUGUGCUCCUCCGGCCCGGCCCUCGGCGCGGCGUUUCUGUGUUCUGUUCCCUUCACAGCCGCGUGGAAACCGCAGCGGGGCGGGCCGGGAUGAGCUCACGCCGCCGCCCGCCAGGCCGCCAACCCUAACUCGCUCCAGAUGCAGGGCGGCCUGUGCUGGCGCGGA
rnacentral:lncRNA from 1 species